GAUAGAAGAUGAGAGAACAACAGAAGAAAUAACCCAUUGAACUUUUUUCAUUUUCAGAUCUUGAUAUGGCCACAAACCGACUGAAGUCAAAAGAACACGAUGUAUGUUAUAAUAGCGAUGUAUGUUACUUACAAGAUCCAUAUUCGUUCAAUAGAUAUGUAUUUCGGUUUGACGACUGCUUGGGACAACUGCACGGCAUCUAUGCGAAACAUCGUGUAUCCACGCAUUCACAAGUGUGUGAUGCACGCAUAAUGGAACGGAGGAAUGGGGAUCGACGCGUUUUGUGAUGUAUGCAUCUCUUCGUUGUGCGCUAAUGCUGGCACAUAGUUCUGUUAGACGCGGCCUGGCAUAAUUGUGCAAUACGUGUAUCUCGCAUAUCUCAGCGUGCAUCCUUCCUUCCGUUCCCGCCCUUCGAGAGCUACGCUGCAUACCUACCAAGCGCAACUUACUCAAUGUCGACGAAUAACGGGGGUUGCGCGUCGAUACGUUGAUUUUGCGCGUACCGUGGCUGGCAGACGAAAUGUUCAUUCUUCCAAACGACUAAAUCGACACCGAUUGGCAUUAGCACAAAUGUCCAAAUCGACCUCCAAAUCAAUUUACGGCAAAUCACGUCAAAAUUGAAACAUAUCUUCUUCAAGUUGUAAAAUUCUCAAGAGACAGCUAUAAAUAAGAUUCUGCUACAUUCGUAGACUAUUUGAUCAUGGCAAUAUGGCGGUAAAACCGGUUACGAAUAACGACGAUUGUAACAAAAAGCAAGAGCCGAACCAAAAAACUGAUGCUGAUCACAAUAAUAAUGUCGGGAUAAUUUGAUACACGUAAUAAAGGUAAGAUAUAUUUAUACUCGAAUAUCUGAGCUUUAUGUUUAUGCGUGUUUUCAAUAUUAACUAUUUGACACUUGU